rnacentral:rRNA from 1 species
UACGUAGGGUGCAAGCGUUGUCCGGAAUUAUUGGGCGUAAAGAGCUCGUAGGCGGUUUGUCGCGUCGAAUGUGAAAACCCGGGGCUCAACCCCGGGCCUGCAUUCGAUACGGGCAGACUAGAGUUCGGUAGGGGAGUCUGGAAUUCCUGGUGUAACGGUGAAAUGCGCAGAUAUCAGGAGGAACACCGGUGGCGAAGGCGGGACUCUGGGCCGAUACUGACGCUGAGGAGCGAAAGCGUGGGGAGCAAACAGG